GACUUCUGGUUUAAUGCCCCUGGCCCGCGGCCCACAAGGCCUGUGAGUGCGUUUACCAACCUUCCAGCAACGGCUACCCUUAACUGGGCGGCUGGAACUGGAUCUUUUACUUUGAAAAAUUAGAGUGUUGAAAGCAGGCGUUUGCUCUGAAUACAUUAGCAUGGAAUAAGAAGCUAGGACUUCGGUUCUAUUUUGUUGGUUUCUAAAACUGAAGUAAUGAUUGAGAGGGAUAGUUGGGGGUGGUCAGAGGUGAACUUAUGCGAAAGCAUU
rnacentral:rRNA from 1 species